rnacentral:lncRNA from 1 species
GCUACCCACUCCAGUAUUCUGGCCUGGAGAAUUCCACGGACUAUAUAGUCUGUGGGGUCACAGAGAGUCUGACAUGACUGAGAUACUUUCACUUCACUUCACUUCACUUCUUUACCACUAGCAACACCUGGGAAGCCCCUUGGCCAACAGAGGAGACAGUCAGGUCACAUUCAGCAAGCAAGACACACUGGUCAAUAUGAAGGCCUCUUGCAUUGGAUUUGGCUUCUGAUUCAUCAUCUUCAGCGUCAGGAUAAUUACGGAUUUGCUUUCAACAGCGGAUUCAUAUAUCCAGUGGGUCAUUAACUCCAUUUCAGUGACACUCACUAAACACCUUCAUUGAGCUUACUGUUCUGACAGGCACUGUAGAAAACAUGGUCUCUUCAGGCAAUAAAAUCUAAUUUAUUUAACUUGUCAUAUUAUUGUAAUUUAGAUGUAUUUCCUAUAGUUUGCUCAUUUUAUCUUUCAUUUCUCAGUUUUUUGAAACAUCAGAGCAAUAAGUGGUGCAAUAGCUGCUUAGUAAAUUUUUUUAUGCACAUUAUUCUUCUGCUUAUGAAUUUGUAAACUAAUCAGUUCAUAUGCUAAUCUGCUAUGGAUCUGUGUUAUUUAAUUAAAUCUGAAAAUAGUAUAUUAAUAUUUAUCAAUGUUUAACUGACUAAAGUCAACCUUAUAUAUAUAUUUAAAUUAAGUAUCACUGUAAACAAUGGAACCAUAAAAAAUUCCUGAACAUUUUGGGUCAGAUUUUUCAAAUCUGAGAGGAAUGAAAAGCUCGGGUUAUCAGCAGUAAUCUUUUAAAACUCAGGGUGCUUGAAGGCCAGCCAAAAUUAUAAUGAGCUUGAAGCAAAUUAUCU